UACGAAGGAUCCAAGCGUUGUCCGGAUUUACUGGGUUUAAAGGGUGCGUAGGUGGCUUGUUAAGUCAGGGGUGAAAGUUUUCGGCCCAACCGGAAAAUGGCCUUUGAUACUGGCGAGCUCGAGUGCGUGAGGGGUAACCGGAACGAGCAGUGUAGCGGUGAAAUGCGUAGAUAUUGCUCGGAAAGCCAACGGCGAAGGCAGGUUACUGGUACGCAACUGACACUGAGGCACGAAAGCGUGGGGAGCAAACAGG
rnacentral:rRNA from 1 species